UACGUAGGGUGCGAGCGUUAAUCGGAAUUACUGGGCGUAAAGCGUGCGCAGGCGGCUUGCCAAGUCAGAUGUGAAAGCCCCGGGCUCAACCCGGGAACGGCGUUUGAAACUGGCAGGCUAGAGUUUGGCAGAGGGGGGUGGAAUUCCACGUGUAGCAGUGAAAUGCGUAGAGAUGUGGAGGAACACCGAUGGCGAAGGCAGCCCCCUGGGCCAAAACUGACGCUCAGGCACGAAGGCGUGGGGAGCAAACAGG
rnacentral:rRNA from 1 species